AGAAUCAACGCUGGCGGCGUGCCUAACACAUGCAAGUCGCACGAGAAAGGGGAGCAAUCCCUGAGUACAGUGGCGCACGGGUGAGUAACACGUGAAUAAUCUACCUCCGAGUGGGGAAUAACUGAGAGAAAUCUUAGCUAAUACCGCAUAACACUUACGAGUCAAAGCAGCAAUGCGCUUGGAGAGGAGUUCGCGGCAGAUUAGUUAGUUGGCAGGGUAAUGGCCCACCAAGACGAUGAUCUGUAUCC
rnacentral:rRNA from 1 species